rnacentral:tRNA from 1 species
GGGAGGAAAGCAUAAGUGCGGUUAACUUGAAAUUAACAAGUGGUAGUUGAAAUCUGCCUCUUCUCG